UACGUAGGGUGCAAGCGUUGUCCGGAAUUAUUGGGCGUAAAGAGCUCGUAGGCGGCUUGUCACGUCGACUGUGAAAACCCGGGGCUCAACUCCGGGCCUGCAGUCGAUACGGGCUGGCUUGAGUGCGGUAGGGGAGACUGGAAUUCCUGGUGUAGCGGUGAAAUGCGCAGAUAUCAGGAGGAACACCUGCGGCGAAGGCGGGUUGCUGGGCCGACACUGACGCUGAGGCGCGAAAGCCAGGGGAGCGAACAGG
rnacentral:rRNA from 1 species